rnacentral:rRNA from 1 species
UACAGGGGGUGCAAACGUUGCUCGGAAUCAUUGGGCGUAAAGCGCACGUAGGCGGUUCGUUAUGUCGGAUGUGAAAGCCCUUGGCUUAACCGAGGAAGUGCAUCCGAAACUGGCGAGCUAGAGUACUAAAGAGGAUCGCGGAAUUCCCGGUGUAGAGGUGAAAUUCGUAGAUAUCGGGAGGAACACCGGUGGCGAAGGCGGCGAUCUGGGUAGAUACUGACGCUGAGGCGCGAAAGCCAGGGGAGCAAACGGG